rnacentral:tRNA from 1 species
GGUGAAAUGGCUGAUAAAAGUAAUAAACUGUAAAUUUAUGCAUGAAUUAAAAUUCUUUCACCA